UCGGGAAUUUUGGGCAAUGGGCGAAAGCCUGACCCAGCAACGCCGCGUGAAGGAUGAAGUAUUUCGGUAUGUAAACUUCGAAAGAAUAGGAAGAAUAAAUGACGGUACUAUUUAUAAGGUCCGGCUAACUACGUGCCAGCAGCCGCGGUAAUACGUAGGGACCAAGCGUUGUUCGGAUUUACUGGGCGUAAAGGGCGCGUAGGCGGCAAUUCAAGUCAUCUGUGAAAUCUCCGGGCUUAACUCGGAACGGUCAGAUGAUACUGCUUUGCUAGAGUGCAGAAGGGGCAAUCGGAAUUCUUGGUGUAGCGGUGAAAUGCGUAGAUAUCAAGAGGAACACCUGAGGUGAAGACGGGUUGCUGGGCUGAUACUGACGCUGAGGCGCGAAAGCUAGGGUAGCAAACGGGAUUAGAUACCCCUGUAGUCCCUGAGCGGGCUGGCAAGGCGCAU
rnacentral:rRNA from 1 species